GAUGAACGCUGGCGGCGUGCCUAAUACAUGCAAGUCGAGCGAACAGACGAGGAGCUUGCUCCUCUGACGUUAGCGGCGGACGGGUGAGUAACACGUGGAUAACCUACCUAUAAGACUGGGAUAACUUCGGGAAACCGGAGCUAAUACCGGAUAAUAUAUUGAACCGCUUGGUUCAAUAGUGAAAGACGGUUUUGCUGUCACUUAUAUAUGGAUCCGCGCCGCAUUAGCUAGUUGGUAAGGUAACGGCUUACCAAGGCAACGAUGCGUAGCCGACCUGAGAGGGUGAUCGGCCACACUGGAACUGAGACACGGUCCAGACUCCUACGGGAGGCAGCAGUAGGGAAUCUUCCGCAAUGGGCGAAAGCCUGACGGAGCAACGCCGCGUGAGUGAUGAAGGUCUUCGGAUCGUAAAACUCUGUUAUUAGGGAAGAACAAAUGUGUAAGUAGCUAUGCACGUCUUGACGGUACCUAAUCAGAAAGCCACGGCUAACUACGUG
rnacentral:rRNA from 1 species